rfam:Streptomyces yokosukanensis strain DSM 40224 genomic scaffold PRJNA299221_s018, whole genome shotgun sequence.
CUUCAACGACCCCAGCCACAAAGGCUGUUGGGGAUCACGGCCCUUCCCGUACGUCGCCAGCAGCGCCUGCGCCUC